CUGGAUAAGGUCCCAAGGGUUGGGCUGUUCGCCCAUUAAAGCGGUACGUGAGCUGGGUUCAGACCGUCGUGAGACAGGUCGGUCUCUAUCCGCUGUGGGCGUAAGGGAUUUGAGGGGAGCUGCCCCUAGUACGAGAGGACCGGGGUGGACUGACCUCUAGUGUGCCAGUUGUUCCGCCAGGAGCAUUGCUGGGUAGCUACGUCUGGCAAAGAUAACCGCUGAAAGCAUCUAAGCGGGAAGCUUGCCUCAAGAUUAGAUCCCUCACUGGAAUAACCAGGUAAGACCGCUGGGAGACUACCAGCUUGAUAGGCGGCAUGUGUAAGUGCAGCAAUGUACUCAGCUAAGCCGUACUAAUGGUCGAGGGCUUAC
rnacentral:rRNA from 1 species